rnacentral:misc_RNA from 1 species
GAGCUCCAAAGGCCGGAGUCGAAGAUGGAGUACCAAACGCCGGAGUUGAAGAGGGCGUACCAAAUGCAGGCGCAGAGGAUGGAGUGCCAAAUGCAGGCGCUGAGGAUGGAGUGCCGAACAUUGUAUGCAAUUAGAGGAAAAUGAGCUAGCAAGUAUAGAUCUCUGCUGCUCUUAAGAAAAAGAUGCCAUGAGUUGUGGCUUUUGCUGUUUAGUAGCGUGUUUGCCGCUCCAAUAUUCGAUCCUUUGCCGCUCAGAGAGGGUAGAGGGUUUACUUUUCACUUGGGCCGUGGGGCGCGGGCGCUUUGGGGGAAAGUCUUUUCGGCGCUUAAUCGACGGGGUUUUGGACCUUUU